GUAGGUGGCAAGCGUUGUCCGGAAUUAUUGGGCGUAAAGCGCGCGCAGGCGGUUCUUUAAGUCUGAUGUGAAAGCCCACGGGCUCAACCGUGGAGGGUCAUUGGAAACUGGAGAACUUGAGUACAGAAGAGGAAAGCGGAAUUCCACGUGUAGCGGUGAAAUGCGUAGAGAUGUGGAGGAACACCAGUGGCGAAGGCGGCUUUCUGGUCUGUAACUGACGCUGAGGCGCGAAAGCGUGGGGAGCAAACAGGAUUAGAUACCCUGGUAGUCCACGCCGUAAACGAUGAGCGCUAAGUGUUAGGGGGUUUCCGCCCCUUAGUGCUGCAGCUAACGCAUUAAGCACUCCGCCUGGGGAGUACGGCCGCAAGGCUG
rnacentral:rRNA from 1 species